CCUCUCUCACCGGUACUUCCAUAGCACCAUCUCCACCAUUAUUUUUCCAGCAAUAUCACCAGAAAAUCCUUAGGAACCUCUAAACACAUUCACAUCUUUUAUUUGAGGUUUGCUUGAUAUUAUUGAGGUUCUAGCUAAUCUCCUUUGGAGUUUAGAGAAUUAGGCUUUUUGUGGGUUGCAAGAUUUACUAGCUAUACCUUGGGUAUGGAGCUUACUUCUUUGGUGAUGAUUAGAGUGCUAUGUUAAUUUUGGAGACUUUUGCUGUAAAUGGUUGGUGACUCGAUCUUGCUAUGUUCAAUGAGACCUUGAUUAAUUCUAUUGGAUGUGGGCCGCUUGAGGUUUGUUAGCAUUUGGUGUAGUAGGCCUAGACUCGAUGUUAAGGUCCUUAAUCUUGAUAAGAUUGUGACUUUGUGUAAUUUAAUGAGUUUUGUAAUAUAUUCAUGUAUUAUGUGGAGGUACAUGAUUUUUAGUAAUUGCUUGUAAAUGUGUUAUAGAGCUCUGACUUGUAAUG